CUGCCCGGUUUGCUAAUUCUUCCCCCUCUCAGUCUGUCCAAUUCUUUACCUUUGUGUCACAAUUAAAAUAAAAUUUGAUAGUUUAAACUUGUUUGCAAAAUAAAAAGUGAACUGGUACAUGAUUUAAGAGAAAUAGUGACAUAAAGUAUAGUUCUUACAAUUGUUCAUCCUCAUGGGUAAAAAUCUAUAGGAACCAUAUUGACUAAGUUGUUGAUGAAAGUGAUAUAACUCUUGGCUAAGAAUUCAUAACAUUUCUAUUCAAGGUACUUAGAGAUUUGUUUCAAAAAUAUCACAAAACCAUAGUAUCAUUUACUCCUCAUUAGCAAGAAAUUCCCAAUAAAAGCCAUACACUUAGAUAUUCAAGUAACCAUUUUAUGAAAUGCAACCUGCUUUUGUAAUGAGUUUUGUCAAAACCUUGUUGACCCUAGUGAGAGUUGUAUCAUAGUCACAAGAUCAAGAUCACGUACACACCACAUAUAUAUAUGCUGCUUCUACACUGGAAGUACGCAACCACAUGUAUUGUGCAUCCACUAAAUAGGUUGCUCCAUACUCUAAGUGUUAGAACACCUCUCUAAAUAUUGUUUAGAAAAUGAGACAUAAAAGGGCUUGGCAAAAUAAAAGAAAAAGAAAAGAUGGACAUGUGCAAGUCCAUGAAAAAAAAAAUUGAGCACAUAAAGCUCGAAGAAAAAGAAAAUCUAGCCAUGUCUCAAUAUACAAGUAGAGAGAGUGUAGUAAAUAAAGGAGCAACCUAGUCCACCAUAUAACACACUUGCACAUCUUGAUCUAUGACUAUGACACUCCUCUCUUUGGAUCCUUGUUUUUGACUUAACAAUAUUUGCAAAGUAGAGUAUGCUACCUUGUUUAUCCCUACCAAGCCCCAUAUAAGCCUAUAAUUAUAGGAUGAAACAAGUUGGCAUUCAUGCCUUGGUGAGGACUACUAAAAAACUUUGAGUGAUCUAGAACGCUAAAUGAGGAGUAGGAUUGAACUAUGUGACUUAUUUUAAAAAGUGUCAUAAAAACUCUAAGUACCAAGAAUAUGAAAUUGGAAUUUGAUCUUGUUCUGAGAGUUGUUCCUUUUCUCAACCUCUGAAGGAUAUAUGCUAGACACUUACACAAAAACCCAUUUGGAUGAACUAUGUUCGAACUAGCAUUUUAUGCUCACUACUAUCUUAAGUUAGAAACCAUUGAUCACUCAUUUUUAACCUUUACUCGAGGACGAGCAAAGACUCAAGUGUGGGGGGUCUUGUUGACGGUAUUUAUACCAUGUUUUCUACUAUCAUAACCGUCAACAUAAGACUCAUUUUGGGAGAAAACAACCAAACAAAGUAGUAAUAUAGGUACAUAUAACCUAGUUCCACAUGUACAUGCUACUAUUUGGUUGCAGGAGUAAGAACAGGUACUUUUCAAGGGUCCAAACACUAAGAAGGGUGAAUAACUAAAGAUCAGUGACACCAGUAACCAAGACAACAUUAUAGUCAUGAAGAGGAAGACAUGUAGGACAGGGCUGACACCCUAACCCCAUAGAAUUGGGGUCGGGCGACCCCACUUUGGUGCGUCCCACAGGUCAGCUCAACUCCACCGACAUCAGAGAGCCUCCAGGACACUGCAGGUGGGCCCAACCAGCCAGAUAGGGGGUCGGCCGACCCCACUUCAUGGCGGUUCCAGGGUCGGUUGGCCUCCCACCGACCUUGCCCACAUGUUGCACAUGUUAGUUUGCCUCUACCGUUGAUCAGAUGGCGGUUGUGAAGUCGGUUUGAUCCAAUGGUGCAUGAUGAAGAUGACGCGGAUCGCUGACGUGGCACUGGAGUAGCCCCUACUCCAUCUCCCACUAUAAAUACCCCCC
rnacentral:lncRNA from 1 species